UACGUAUGGGGCAAGCGUUAUCCGGAUUUACUGGGUGUAAAGGGAGCGCAGGCGGCCUGGCAAGCCUGAUGUGAAAGACCGGGGCCCAACCCCGGGGCUGCAUUGGGAACUGCCAGGCUGGAGUGCCGGAGAGGCAGGCGGAAUUCCUAGUGUAGCGGUGAAAUGCGUAGAUAUUAGGAGGAACACCAGUGGCGAAGGCGGCCUGCUGGACGGUGACUGACGCUGAGGCUCGAAAGCGUGGGGAGCAAACAGG
rnacentral:rRNA from 1 species